AGUGAACGCUGGCGGUAGGCCUAACACAUGCAAGUCGAACGGCAGCACAGUAAGAGCUUGCUCUUACGGGUGGCGAGUGGCGGACGGGUGAGGAAUACAUCGGAAUCUACUUUUUCGUGGGGGAUAACGUAGGGAAACUUACGCUAAUAUCGCAUACGACCUACGGGUGAAAGCAGGGGAUCUUCGGACCUUGCGCGAUUGAAUGAGCCGAUGUCGGAUUAGCUAGUUGGCGGGGUAAAGGCCCACCAAGGCGACGAUCCGUAGCUGGUCUGAGAGGAUGAUCAGCCACACUGGAACUGAGACACGGUCCAGACUCCUACGGGAGGCAGCAGUGGGGAAUAUUGGACAAUGGGCGCAAGCCUGAUCCAGCCAUACCGCGUGGGUGAAGAAGGCCUUCGGGUUGUAAAGCCCUUUUGUUGGGAAAGAAAAGCAGCAGGUUAAUACCCCGCUGUUCUGACGGUGCCCAAAGAAUAAGCACCGGCUAACUUCGUG
rnacentral:rRNA from 1 species